rnacentral:rRNA from 1 species
UACGAAGGGGGCUAGCGUUGCUCGGAAUCACUGGGCGUAAAGGGUGCGUAGGCGGGUCUUUUAAGUCAGGGGGUGAAAUUCUGGAGCUCAACUCCAGAACUGCCUUUGAUACUGAAGAUCUUGAGUUCGGGAGAGGUGAGUGGAACUGCGAGUGUAGAGGUGAAAUUCGUAGAUAUUCGCAAGAACACCAGUGGCGAAGGCGACUUCCUGGCCUGUUCUUGACGCUGAGGCGCGAAAGCUAGGGUAGCAAACGGGG